AAUUCAACUCAAACAACUCUAAAAAGAGCUGACAAGCAUCACACAAAAGAUCUGAAGAAAUCUGGAGUUAACAAUUCAACCUCUCAAUCUCUCCUAAGAUGAAGAAGUUGAGCAUUGCCUUUGCAGUGGCAAUUGCACUGGCCUUUAUUUGCAUUCAGGAGAGCUCUGCUGUCCCACUUUAUGGAGUGGAAGUGCAGGAGGAGGAAAAUUGGAGCAAAGAGCCUCCGCCUUUCUUCAUAGAUUCAUGGAGGAUGGCACAUAAAAGGUAUAAGCGCCACAGCGGCCCCAGAGACUGACGCUUUUGCUGCCACUGUUGCGUGCGGCCAGACCCUGGUUGUGGGAUGUGCUGCACCUGAGUAUUGACUCUGUCACAUCCUAUCCAUGGACUACAGAUGAAAAAAAAGCUUCUUGGCUAACUCAGUCAUGUUAACAGCAAAGUUUACAUGUGCACUGUCUCUGUCUCCAGUCUGGGAUUCCCACAGCUACUGUACAGCUAAAUAUUAAUCUGUUAUGCUUUUGUGUCAAAGCAGUUUUACCACUUUUAAUUGUACUUGUGGUUGGGAAUAUCUGAAUGUAUUUGAUGUGGAUUAAAUAUCUACAGAUUCUAACGUGUACUAUCACAAUAAAGUUUAAUUUUAGUAAUACCAAA